GAUACCUGCGGUCCUUUUAGGUUUCUAAAUUUUCUUGAGCUAUAAACUUGGCUGUGGCAUUAUAUGUACUUCUGGUUGUAUCUCCAUAAAGUGGAAUAGAACAGAGGGAGAAGAUCCGGGCCAAGAGAAUCACGUUUGACCACCCACUCUACUAUGUGGUGAGAGUCUGCAGAGCGAAAUAUGAGAUCGCCGAUCGACACCUGUCUGCCUGGGUUAUGUAUCUUCGUAGGAGAGCCAUCGUUUAGAAGUACUUAAGUGAGAUUUUCGAGAAGUGUAGGCAAAUCUGUGAUACACGUCAUCUACUUCACAACUCCACACCAACUGGUGCUUGUUGAAGCCUGAAUAAAGAAUAAACGGCAUUAGAAGGUGGCCAAUAAUCUGAUCAGAGAAAGAUUCUGUAUUUUACACUUAGGAAGUUUGUAAAUGGUGAGACUGUUAAAUGCGCCUUUGGGAUAGUAAAUUACAUUGGCCACUACUUGGCAGUCACUCAUCCUAAGACUGAUAUCAAUUUUUUAAAACAGAAUUGUAUCCAUUAUUAAAAUGGCGGCACCUCCUCUUGCAUCAUGUCUGGCAUUUCUAAGCCUUGCAUAGCCUUUGAACUGUAUCUGAUGACAUGUUGUAAACCAAGUACUGCAAAUACAAGCUAAUGAUAUGUUGUUGCUGAUAA